AACUUAGUGGCUGACUUAAAGUGCAAGUCUUUUAAACUUGAAAUGGUUUUAUAAACCCUAAGUUG
rnacentral:tRNA from 1 species